CCUACGGGAGGCAGCAGCAAGGAAUUUUGUGCAAUGGGCGAAAGCCUGACACAGCAACGCCGCGUGGGGGAUGAAGGCUUUCGGGUUGUAAACCCCUUUUCUCAGGGAGGAAUAAUGACGGUACCUGAGGAAUAAGCCAUGGCUAACUACGUGCCAGCAGCCGCGGUAAU
rnacentral:rRNA from 1 species